rnacentral:rRNA from 1 species
GUGGGGAAUAUUGGGCAAUGGGCGAAAGCCUGACCCAGCAACGCCGCGUGAAGGAAGAAGGUCUUCGGAUCGUAAACUUCUAUCCUUGGUGAAGAUAAUGACGGUAGCCGAGAAGGAAGCACCGGCUAACUACGUGCCAGCAGCCGCGGUAAUACGUAGGGGGCAAGCGUUGUCCGGAAUGAUUGGGCGUAAAGGGCGCGUAGGCGGCCUGGUAAGUCUGGAGUGAAAGUCCUGCUUUUAAGGUGGGAAUUGCUUUGGAUACUGUCGGGCUUGAGUGCAGGAGAGGUAAGUGGAAUUCCCGGUGUAGCGGUGAAAUGCGUAGAGAUCGGGAGGAACACCAGUGGCGAAGGCGACUUACUGGACUGUAACUGACGCUGAGGCGCGAAAGUGUGGGGAGCAAACAGGAUUAGAAACCCUUGUAGUCC